AAUUAAUUAAUGAUAAUAAAAAAUAGGAAGAAAUUAAGAAAAAUGGCGGGUUUGAAUUGAUCCGAUUCCACCUCUCUUCUUCUCCGUUGGAACUGUUCCCUCGCAGCAUCCCACUCUUCCCCUGCAAUGUCAAAGCUUGCGAGCUCUGCUAUAAGUUCUUAGUAGAACGAAUCUCGUAAGCUGCAUCCGAUGCCAUUUCCACUUAUUCGCCGCUCUUCGGCUUCAGAAGCUUGUGUACGCAGAUGAUUAUGCGAAUUCUUGUUUUGAGCGAAUGUGAUGGUAAGAGUGGGUUGCUGCUUCGUUCUUUCCGAAUUUCAGGUCCGUGUUACUUGUUCAGUUUCUUCUUCUACUCCAUUACUGAAUAUCUGCAUGUUAGAGGGUAGCAAUUAGCUUUAAGGCUCCAUGUUCAUAAAGGAAUUCACGAGUUUGAUUGCACUGACUGGUAGACUCUGAUCCAUGACAAAGUAAAGGUUUUUUUUUUUGGGGGGUUGAAAAUGUGAAUGGUUGCUUUCCUCCAGAGAUUGUGAUGUGAGAUAGAGAGUGCAGUUCUGCACUCGCGUGAUUUAUUCUCUCCAUGCUAAUUUAUGAUUUCAUAGGUUACUCUACAAACUUUGGGAAAGGCAACCUGCCCGCAAUGUGUGGGUGACUUCAUUAUAUAAUAUUGAAUGGUACAAGUAUCAAAUGAAGUUACAAAUACUGUUCCCGAAUUACAUAUUCUCACCAUAUGUACAAUAUACACUGAUACGCCCCCCUCAAUCUGUUGGGGGUGCACGACACCGGCAGAUUGGAUUGGUGAGACUGAAACGUCGAGAUAGAGACAUUUUUUGUCAAAAUGUCCGCAAGUUGAGAAGAUGUAGGAACUAGCGAACAAGUAGAUCUCCUCGAGGAAUCCUCUCCCGAACAAAGUGAUAGUUGACAGCGAUGCAUUUGCUGCGAUCAUGUUGUACAGGAUUUGCUGUAAGGUAGGUGACACUAAUAUUAUCACAGUGGUCUAUAAUUGGACUGGGGGAGUGAAGUCCAAUGUCUGAAGUUAGCUGACGUAGCCAGAGGGUCUCGGCAACAGCAUAUGCAAGAGCCCGAUAUUCUGCCUCGGUGGAGCUCUUGGAUACAAUUGGUUGUUUCUUGGACUGCCAAGAGAUAAGGUUGGGCCCGACAAAAAUGGCAUAGCCUGUAGUGGAACGGCAACUGCAUCUGUGUAGGCGGUGAUUUGGAGGUCUCGUGACCGUCGGAGCUGCAAACCAUGUGAGGAUGUGCCGCACAAGCACUGAAGGACGCAUUUAGCUGCCUGUAAAUGUGUGAUUCGUGGAGCCUGCAUAAACUGGCUAACCAGGUUAACUGCAUAGAAAAUAUCUGGUUGGGUUAUGGUUAUAUAUUGUAGUGCCCCAACUAUCUCCUAUACUCAGAAGGAUCUGAUAAGACAUCUCCUUCGGUCACUGACAGUGUGAAACGGGUUGGUAAUGGAGUUUUGACGGGAGAGGAAUUAUGAAGACCAAAUCUUGUGAGGAUAUCAUUAAUGUACUUCUGCUGGGACAGGAAUAGGGAAGUAGAAGUUCGAGUUGCCUGAACCCCAAGGAAAAAGUGUAAUGGGCCGAGAUCUUUCAUUGCGAACUCCCUGUACAUGGCAUGCGGACUGAUAAUGCUGAAAAUGGUUAAUGUUUCUCUAGAAUGGAACUAUGGUGGUUCCAGUCUUCAUAAGCUUUGCUGCUGGGACAACCUUAGCCCUAUAAAUAUUCUAGGAACUGAAUGCUUGGAUGCCAUUGAUUCCAUCAUCUGACGAGAUGGAACUGGAUGGAAACUCUGUCCUCCCAUUAUUUUGAUUGAAUCAACAGACCCCGUGUUGAAGAACAAUAACUCCAAUGGUCUGCAUCUCCCAUCCGAGAAGAACAUGGAGGACUCUACGUUUUGUACUGCUUGUUGUUUCUGUGAAAAGGAGAGAGUAAUAUCUUCACAAAUAAUGCUGCAAAUCCUACAGAAAGAAAAGGAGCUUCUCCACUCCUUCGUGCUUCUUCCUGCACCUAUUCCCAUUCACAGAGAGCAUAAUGACCAAAAGAUCUCCACACUGAGUGCGAUGUGAUGAUGAAACAUGUGUAUGCUGGGGAGGGUGCAAUGAUGUUCUUAGGCUCUAACGGGGUUUCCUGAAAUGAGGCAGAGAUGGUUUUGUUGCCGCUGCAGAGGAAACCGCAGAAGUUACCUUGUCCAUGUAAGGGGGACUCAGAUGCAGUAAAUUUGAGCUUCACCUGCUUCCUCCUCAUCACAAAUUUAUAGUCCCGCCUCCAUGCAGCUGCUGGGAGCAACAUAGUUUUGGCAGACAACCUCAGGUGUAAACCAACAGGUUUAAAUGCCGGCUAGGACACAUAGCUGCUUAGAGGCCAAAAACAUCUCGAGGUUGAGAUCCCAUAAUCGAGCGCAUCAAUCUCUUCGGACUCUGGUAUACCUUCCAAAGCUGCCUAAAGAUCUUUUACUGUUGGGUACUGCAUGCAGUAUUAUCUUGAUCUAGACGGCUAUGUCUAGGCAACAUCUCCCCCAACUAGAACAAGCCAAAGAUCAAAGAAGAGUAAUUCUUUUGAGUUCAUUGUGGAGCAUCAUGUUUGCUGUGAAUAUGUCAGUUUUCCAAGACAUUUAUAAUUUUCAUUUUCACGAAUCACAGAAUUCAGCAACAACUAA